GGUCCGCUGUGAGGCAGGUUGCUCCCCCUUUCUGCCAUCAGCCCCCUGUAUCUGGCCGCCAGACCAUUUCACUGAAGGAAUGACAAAUACUGUCAUGCGUAUAAGGGGGGGGAAAGCAGACCUGCAGCGGACAGCAGGAGCACACCCUUCCUGCUUGGGUGGACAGGAGACCGAAGACCCUGGGUCAUCCUCAAAGCCAGACCCGGCAGCAGCGCCCAUGCUCUGGCCCACGUGGCCCCUCCAGGCCAUGAAACUGCUCGUCCCAGAUGCAGUUGGCGAGUCUCACGUGGCAGUUUUGGAGUCUGGAUGCGACAAACGGGUAUGUAAAUCCUGCGUUCGGGUCAAAGUCUGACCCUGAAUUAUUCGGUUAGAGCCAUAAAGUCAUAUAGAAGUCGGCGAUAAAUCCCACUGAAUGUUACUUUGUUUGGGGAAGAGGGCCAGGGAGGGGUCAGGGUACUCAUGUUAUGGCUGUUUGUCAGCGCGGAGCUCUGUGAUAAGGCAAUGUGUUUUUAUUAUGUUGACCGGACAUCUUCCAGGCCUAGCCGGAGAGCGCCUGCGGGUCUGAAUCACGUGCGGGGGUGCGGACGCAACCGAAUGACGCGCCACCCCGUGGGCUGCACACCUUGCAUGGCCACUUGCUUUCAGGAGUUGCGCCUGGUCCGUUUGCUUCUUAUUGCUGUUUGUGACCAUGUAAAUGUCUCUGGAAAGGAAAGUGUUUCUACAGUAUCUAAGUUGUCCUUCUGCCUAUUUGUCCAUUAAACUGUUGCAUUACUCUUGGACUCUGACUUCGCUGUUUGGGGUACAGACACUGUAUCCUAUACAGUCGUAAGGUGAAUCCUUCACUGAAACUCGGGGUAGUACACACACCCAGAUAGUAACACAUGCUACUGAGUUACUUUCAUUUCUGCAAGGUCAGUAUAACAUCGGUUUUGAAGAUGAUGACCAACCGCCCUGAUGGACGAGACGUACCUUGUUGAACUGGGGAAUCAAGCGCUCUGUGUGAGAACACACGCAUUGAAACUGCUAAUCCCAAGGGGAGAGUGUCAUGGCGAGCCGGAGCCUAACCCUGCAACAUGGGGCGCAGAGCCGGAGGG